GGUGUUUACUGUUUGCCCGGACGAUUUUGUUGGUUCGUUCAUGGUUCUCUUAACCGAGUGCCAUGAGUGGCCAGCACGUUUACUUUGAAAAAAUUGGAGUGCUCAAAGCAGGCGCUACAGCCUGAACAUUAGUGCAUGGAAUAAUGGAAUAGGAUCUCGGUUCUAUUUCGUUGGCUUUCGGAGUCGAGGUAAUGAUUAAUAGGGACAGACGGGGGCAUUCGUACUGCGACGUUAGAGGUGAAAUUCUUGGAUCGUCGCAAGACGAACUACUGCGAAAGCAUUUGCCAAGAAUGUUUUCAUUAAUCAAGAACGAAAGUUAGAGGUUCGAAGGCGAUCAGAUACCGCCCUAGUUCUAACCAUAAACGAUGUCGACCGGCGAUCCGCUUUCGUUAACUGAAUGACUAAGCGGGCAGCCUCCGGGAAACCAGAGUAUGUGGAUUCCUGGGGAAGUAUGGUUGCAAAGCUGAAACUUAAAGGAAUUGACGGAAGGGCACCACCAGGAGUGGAGCCUGCGGCUUAAUUUGACUCAACACGGGAAAUCUCACCAGGCCCGGACACCGGAAGGAUUGACAGAUUGAGAGCUCUUUCUUGAUUCGGUGGGUGGUGGUGCAUGGCCGUUCUUAGUUGGUGGAGCGAUUUGUCUGGUUAAUUCCGAUAACGAACGAGACUCUGGCCUACUAAAUAGACGUUGGAUCCCUUUGUGGGUCCAUCGCAGCUUCUUAGAGGGACGGGCGG
rnacentral:rRNA from 1 species